GGGGUUGUGACUCAGUAAGAGAGUGCUUGCCUAGCAUGCAUGAGACCCUGGGUUUAAUCCCCAGCACCA
rnacentral:tRNA from 1 species